rnacentral:lncRNA from 1 species
AUUGUCUAGAUCAUUUGUCAAGCCCAGUACUACCAAGUUCCAAGUGUCAAAGAUUCUUGGUCCGCUGAUUGACGCGAAUGGGGAUUUGGAUAAGGAUUAGAGAGACUUUUCAAUGAGUUAAAUAUGGUUGAGGCAGGAGAAGGAUCAAGCAGGGAAGAUGUGCAGUUUGUGGGAGCACGCAAAUGUCAACAAUUGGGAAGCCACUCCUCUUCCCACCUAAAGGGAGUCGUGGUAGUCGGCUUUGAUUUUUCUUUCAGUCUAGUCUUGAUUAGCUUCAGGGUUGUUAAUUCAGUUGUUAUUUCCAUCUGUUUGAAU